rnacentral:rRNA from 1 species
AGAGUUGAUCUGCUCAGACGACGCUGCGGCGUGCUACACAUGCAAGUCGAACGAAGUAAGUUGCUUCACAAGCGCUGAACGCAGUGCCCCAAGCGCAUUUGCCAAGAGGGGAAAUACACUACAUAAAAAGUAAAAGGUGAACGAAGAGAGAAUUAAGCAAAAGAAGCAAAUGAGCUUCACGCAAAUUCCAAGUGACAACACCAAACGAAGAAUUCAGAAUUUGGUGAAGUGACUUACUUAGUGGCGGACGGGUGAGUAACGCGUGAGCAAUCUGCCCUAUACAGAGGAAUAGCCUCGGGAAACCGGGAUUAAAACCGCAUGACACUUAUGUACCGCAUGGUAUAGAAGUCAAAUUGAGUAAGAGGUAUAGGAUGAGCUCGCGUCUGAUUAGCUAGUUGGUAGGGUAAAGGCCUACCAAGGCGACGAUCAGUAGCCGGCCUGAGAGGGUGAACGGCCACACUGGAACUGAGACACGGUCCAGACUCCUACGGGAGGCAGCAGUGGGGAAUAUUGCACAAUGGAGGAAACUCUGAUGCAGCGACGCCGCGUGAGUGAAGAAGGUCUUCGGAUCGUAAAACUCUGUCCUUGGUGAAGAUAAUGACGGUAGCCAAGGAGGAAGCCCCGGCUAACUACGUGCCAGCAGCCGCGGUAAUACGUAGGGGGCUAGCGUUGUCCGGAUUUACUGGGCGUAAAGGGUGAGUAGGCGGUUGCAUAAGUCAGAUGUAAAAGGCUAAGGCUUAACCAUAGUAUGCAUUUGAAACUGUGUGACUUGAGUACAGGAGAGGUAAGCGGAAUUCCUAGUGUAGCGGUGAAAUGCGUAGAUAUUAGGAGGAACACCAGUGGCGAAGGCGGCUUACUGGACUGUAACUGACGCUGAGUCACGAAAGCGUGGGUAGCAAACAGGAUUAGAUACCCUGGUAGUCCACGCUGUAAACGAUGAGUGCUAGGUGUUGGGUAGCGAUACUCAGUGCCGAAGUAAACACAAUAAGCACUCCGCCUGGGGAGUACGGUCGCAAGACUGAAACUUAAACGAAUUGACGG